GAGAACAAUGUACAAAUGUUAUCGAUAAACAAUUGGAGGGCAAGUCUGGUGCCAGCAGCCGCGGUAAUUCCAGCUCCAAUAGCGUAUAUUAACGUUGUUGCAGUUAAAAAGCUCGUAGUUGAAUUGAAGUGAACUUGGAUUGAUGUGAUCUUCGGAUGACGUGAAUCAAAGUUGACUCUUUCCAAAGUCAAUACAUUGGUAUUCAUUUAUCUUUGUAUUGUGUUUGGUCAUUUACUGUGAGAAAAUUAGAGUGUUCAAAGCAGACGUUUGUUUGAAUACAUUAGCAUGGAAUAAUCAUAUAAGGCUUUCAUGUUGAUUUGAUUGGUUUGAAUAUGGAAGCAAGAUUAAAAGGGACAGUUGGGGGUAUUCAUAUUCAAUAGUCAGAGGUGAAAUUCUGGGAUUUAUGGAAGAUGAACAAGUGCGAAAGCAUUUACCAAGGAUGUUUUCAUUAAUCAAGAACGAAAGUUAGGGGAUCGAAGAGGAUUAGAUACCCUCGUAGUCUUAACUAUAAACGAUACCGACUAGGGGUUAGUAAUGGUCAUUGUGUGUUUACUAGUACCUUAUGAGAAAUCAAAGUCUUUGGGUUCCGGGGGGAGUAUGGUCGCAAGGCUGAAACUUAAAGGAAUUGACGGAAGGGCACCACCAGGAGUGGAGCCUGCGGCUUAAUUUGACUCAACACGGGGAAACUUACCAGGUCCAGACAUAGGAAGGAUAGACAGAACAAAGCUCUUUCUUGAUUCUAUGGGUGGUGGUGCAUGGCCGCUCUUAGUUGGUGGAUUGAUUUGUCAGGCUAAUUCCGAUAACGAACGAGACCUCCUCCUACUAGAUAGAUAUGUAUAUCUUCGGAUAUAUAAUAUCUUCUUAGAGGGA
rnacentral:rRNA from 1 species